rnacentral:lncRNA from 1 species
CUUCCUUUUCCACUAGCCAACCCUAUAAUUAUUUACAAAUUAUUAUAGACCCUGUGCUAAAUUACAUAAGAAAAAUGCAAAAAAUAAGAUGUUACAACCAUAGGAAGCCUGAUCUUGACUUCAUCUCUAAGUUAUGUAAAAAAAAAACCACCUCAAAAGCCCAAUAUUGUUCCAAAGCCUUUUCUCAUAUCUGGGUGUGUCAGAGUUCCCUAAGGACCUCAAGGGGUCCCGGACAGUGCUCACACCCAGAUUGCAUAACCAAGAGUAAGUGCAGUGUAAAAGGGCCAGCCCUUAUGUGUCCAGGUUUAGAAGAAGCUCAAAGGGUCCCAAAGCAAGGCUCACACAAGAGUGCCAGAACCUAGUAGUCUAGGAGUGCAUGUGAGAGUGCUGGACAUAGAGUCAAAGUAGUUGAGUUGGAAAAUAGUUUUAGAAACAACAUGAUUGAAGUGAGUUUGUAAAACAGCAAAAAAAUUGCCUAAUAAAAUAUUUUUUGAAAGGGAAAGGGGAUAGGAUCAACACACACAGAACCAUUUCAGAGAGAAUAAUAUGCUUCAGCAAUUACAGACAGGGAAUAGGGGGUUGGGGACAUAGAGGACUCAAAUCAGAAACACACAAUUAGUCGUGGAUUGGGUACAUUAUAGACAUGCUAGUUGAAGGACAUAAACAGGAACAAGCAAAUAUGCUAAUCACAUUUUAAAGAAGGGCAGAAUUUUAAGCAUGCUGAGUAAAGUAGUAAACAAAUAGUAAAACUCAACAGCAUAAGCCUCCAUUAAUAUAGAAAGAGAAGGUGAUUGACAACAAGGGAACGCACAGGUUUGAGUUUCAGAAUCUAAACUAGGAACAUACCAGUUGAAGGAGCAAAGUGCACAAAUGCAAAGCAAUCAGAGUUCCAAAAGUCUAGCGUUGGCUUUCAGCAGCCUAGACAAGGCAGUAGCACAAGUAGUAGAGAAAGAAAGAGAGUUUAAAUGUGUAAGUGUGUAUUUUUAAACUCAGUUGUUCGUGCCUUUAGAGAAGAGAGGGUAGGGUAUUUAUUGCUUUGAAAACGAGUAGAAAAUAAGGUAACAAGUAAAGUUUUAAAUCAAACAUGAAAAUAAUCACAAUCAGAAUCAAUUAAUACUAGUACUUUUCUUUAAUCAAGGGAAUUACUGAUCAAAUGUGUACUGACAGGAAUAAUUAAGGAAAGAAAACCAAUUUGAGAAAGAUUGAUUUCUGACCAUAUAGGGGAUAUUAAAAGUAUAGAGUAAACAAUUGAGUCUAAGUACAAAAUAUACUUUAUUGGGGAAGGAUUCAGCAUGGGUACAACAUCAAAAUAAAUAAAGGAAUGGAAUCAAUCAACUCAAACAAACGAGUAGAAUUAGUAUAAAAAAAUGUUUUCAAUCAGUCAUAACUUGAGGAAAUCAAGAGCAAUUAAGAAAGAAUCAUGAUUCUGCACUUUGCCAUAUCAAUAGAGAAGAAUGAACAAGAGUAUCAGACAUGCAAGGCCAACCAUAUUAAAAAAAGAAGCAACUCAAACAUACAGUAGUAGCAGGAGUAGGCUAGGGCUCAGUAGUAAAAGACCCUACUCGAAGCACGGUAGUUAACAAAGUCAAGUAGCCAUAUAGAACCAGAGUGAAAAACCAAACUAACAGGUAAGAAGGUGAGAAACAAGUAAAGAACCAUUUAAACUCACAGUAAUGAGUGAGGAAACACUUAUAAGA